ACAUCACAGAAAGGAGGGCGGAUCCUUGUGCGUUACGUCUCUCGUACAGUCGUCGCCCACACCCGCUCAUUCGCUUUUCGUUUAGCGCUCGCUAUGUAAACGUGUCUUGUUGUGAAUCUAAACAAAAUCAGUCAGUCGUCGUUUUGUAUCCGUGAGAGAAGUGCGUCCAAGUGUCGCGGUUGAGUUUGAACAUGUCGUGGCAGUGAACAUACGAUUCUUACCAAAAUGCACGCUUUAUUUGGAGAACAAAGCCAUUACGCAUACCGCAGCGGAGCUGCAGGAGGCUAUUCUGCUGGAGUCACUCCUUACGCUUACGAUCAAUACAGAUAUGGAUACGGACCGCCCUAUCUUCACCCGCAUCAACAGCAUGUCGGAACACCGAAAGAUAUGGUCAAACCUCCCUAUUCGUAUAUUGCACUGAUAGCAAUGGCGAUUCAAAAUGCACCCGAUAGGCGAAUAACCCUCAAUGGUAUAUACCAAUUCAUCAUGGAACGUUUUCCUUAUUAUAGAGAAAAUAAACAAGGGUGGCAAAACUCAAUACGACACAACUUGAGUCUUAACGAAUGUUUUGUUAAGGUUGCAAGGGAUGAUAAAAAACCCGGCAAAGGAAGUUAUUGGACGUUGGAUCCAGAUUCUUAUAACAUGUUUGAUAACGGAUCUUAUUUGAGACGACGUCGCCGUUUCAAAAAAAAGGAUGCGCUUAAAGAAAAAGAAGAAGCUUUGAAACGCCAGCAACAAUUACAACAAGCGCAAGAACUGGCGGCACAGGAAGCUCUUAGCGCUGCUGAUGCUUUAGGACAAGCGCGAGACGUCAAGCCAGACGUAAAGCCUAGAAUAUUUGAAUGUAGACCAAAACGAGAACCCGGUGCGGAUUGCACGCGGUAUGACAAAUUAAGUGAGCCUAUAGACGAGUUUAGCGAGCCUCGAUUACCGCCCUCCGCAGUUUACUGUUCGCCACAGCCAUAUUCUUUAGCAGCCGAGGAGUUUCGAGCAGCUACAAGCGGCUGGUAUUCUGCACCCGAACCAUCCGCUGACCAGCUUCCGCCAGCUUUUCGGGACCUCUUCGAACCGCCUAGUUGCCAGUUGGCGGGAUACCGCGGCAGUUCACCGGCUCCCGACGCUUACCGCGCUUCACCUCCACCUCACCACCACUACCGUUCGCCAGCUCCAUCCUACUACCAUCAUCAAGCUUGCGUAGCCGCCGCACCCGCCUCUGCUCAUAAAUCCUACUGAGACACCAUCCUCAGGAGAUCGACAUCAUAUGGCGCCGAACGGAUUUAGCCGUAUUCGUCAGUUCCAGAGCGGAUAAAUAUAGCCUCCUAGCCGGAGAUGCUACAGAACCAAUACAAGUGGCGGCGUGUCGAUAACUACUGUUUACAGAUCGUCGGUCAGCCCUGCCGCCUCCUGCUCCGUUCACACCUCUAGGUGACGGGAACGAAGAAAGCGGGAGGCGAAUAGCAGGGAAACGAAUUGUUCCGAUAACCAUCAAAUAAAUUGAUACGAAUACUUACAAUAUUUACUAUUAUUAAUUAACACGUCUGAUUAAUAGUAUUAAUUUGUAGUGAAAUGAACAUGAAUUAUAGUAGUAGAGUUAUCACAAAAUUGUUCAUUUUUCAUAGAGAUUCAUAAAGGUCUUAUAAAAUUUUAUAAAACAAAGUAGUCUGAAUAUUUGCAAUAUAGAUACAAUUUAAAAUGUUUUAAAAUUCUCAGUUAAAUAAUGUGAAAGCAAGGAUUCUAUUUUCAUCACAUGCUAGUGAAAGACCACAUAGAAUAUUAUGUAGCCCAUACUUUAAUGUAUUUAUGAGUUUUUAUGUAUAUAUUUAAUUUAGAAUUACAUAGCUGUAAGGUAGGUUAGAGCAUAGUAGACUAAAUAUCGUUUCUAGUCUUUACUUUGAUACUUUCAGUUAAGAUGUACGAAUUAUAUAAGGUUCUAGCUAUGAGGGUUCUUAGAUUUGUUAAUUGUUUUUCACAUUUUAAGUGAAAAUGUUAAUAAAUUUGGUAAACUAAGUAUCAUACAACCUUCAAAAUCUUGAAUAGAAAAUUAUUUUAGGUAUAUAUAGUUCUUGUGCACACUCUUAUUUUCAUUUUGAAUAAUAUUUGUAUGGACGCAUGAAAAUUGUGAGAGAUUGGAUUAAUUGUUUGAACACUUGUGGACAGUCUUUAUGAAUUAUUGAUAAACCAAUUAGUAUAAUAUAUUACUUUGAAACAAUUGUCAUAGCCUUCUGUGAAUCUGUUUUAUGGCACUUUAUGUACUAUAGUAAUUUAGAAUAAAAUAGCAUAAAUACUUGUAAGAGAAAUAAAUUCCGAAUAUAUUAGAAAUAUUUAGAAUAAUUUUCGAUCGCCUAAUAUUUAAAAUAUAACCAAACUAUUUAUUACAUGCGUUCUAUACAGAUCAUUUAGAAUGUUUCAUAAAUAGAAAUUGUUUCUGAUGUAAAAAUAUGAAUGUUCAUCAAGCAUUGAUAAUGUAGUUUUUUUUUUUAAUAAUAAAGUAGAGAAGUAGGUUCCAUUUUA